rnacentral:rRNA from 1 species
AGCGAACGCUGGCGGCGUGCCUAACACAUGCAAGUCGAACGUGAAAGGGAGCAAUCCCAAGUAAAGUGGCGUACGGGUGAGUAACACGUAGGUAAUCUACCCCAGAAUCUGGAAUAACCGGCCGAAAGGCUGGCUAAUACUGGAUAGAGCGACGGAAUCCGUAAUUGGGUUUUUCGGGAAAGGGAGCCUGUAAAAAGGCCUUCGUUCUGGGAUGAGCCUGCGUCCCAUCAGCUAGUUGGUGAGGUAAAAGCUUACCAAGGCAAUGACGGGUAGCUGGUCUGAGAGGACGAGCAGCCACCCUGGAACUGAAACACGGUCCAGACUCCUACGGGAGGCAGCAGGGGGGAAUCUUGCGCAAUGGGCGAAAGUCUGACGCAGCAGCGCCGCGUGAGUGAAGAAUGCCUUCGGGUUGUAAAGCUCUGUCGAGUGGGACGAAAAUGCUUGGAGUUCACAGCUCCAGGAACUGACGGUACCACUAAAGGAAGCACCGGCUAACUCCGUG